rnacentral:rRNA from 1 species
UACGGAGGAUGCGAGCGUUAUCCGGAUUUAUUGGGUUUAAAGGGUGCGUAGGCGGCUUUUUAAGUCAGCGGUGAAAUUUUGCAGCUUAACUGUAACAGUGCCGUUGAUACUGGGGAGCUAGGAUUUGGUUGCUGUGGGUGGAAUGUGUGGUGUAGCGGUGAAAAUGCUUAGAGAUCACACAGAAUAUCGAUUGCGAAGGCGGCUCACAAAGCCAAGAUUGACGCUGAGGCACGAAAGUGUGGGGAUCAAACAGGAUUAGAUACCCCGGUA